GUAAGGAAUCUUGCACAAUGGGCGAAAGCCUGAUGCAGCGACGCCGCGUGGGUGAUGGAGGCCUUCGGGUCGUAAAGCCCUGUGGGGAGGGAAGAACAGCCGCAAGGUUUGACGGUACCUCCUUAGCAAGCACCGGCCAACUACGUGCCAGCAGCCGCGGUAAGACGUAGGGUGCAAACGUUGCUCGGAAUCACUGGGCGUAAAGCGCGUGUAGGCGGCCGAGCGUGUCGAGCGUGAAAGCCCUUGGCUCAACUGAGGAACUGCGUUCGAAACUGCCCGGCUGGAGGGUGAGAGAGGGGGAUGGAAUUCCCGGUGUAGAGGUGAAAUUCGUAGAUAUCGGGAGGAACACCAAUAGCGAAGGCAGUCCCCUGGACCAUUUCUGACGCUGAGACGCGAAAGCGUGGGGAGCAAACAGGAUUAGAAACCCCUGUAGUCC
rnacentral:rRNA from 1 species